UCGCCUGGACGACCCACAGACUCAUGAUGUUCCCUCUGAGCCAGGAGGAGAGCGCACUGCAGUGUCCAGGCCGACCCACCCACUCAACACGCAACUCUCCCUAAAGAAGCGCUUUGCACGUGUCGGAGGCAGCGGCGUUUCCUGAUGGGACGGAAGCGCAUCUAAAACACCGACGGAUGAAUCGGACAUGAACAAAAUCAGAAAUCGAUCGAUCAAUCACCAAAAGAAGUUAUCGACCCUUUAAAGAACAUUUCUCCACAGAAAAUUCAAGAAAGUUUCAAGAAUUUUAAAAACUUUUUCAGCACCAAACAGAGAUAAAAACUAUGCAAAUUAACUAAAAAAGACAGUUUAAAUGAAC